GAGGGUAUAGCUCAGUGGUAAGAGUGCACGCUUAGCAUGCGCAAGGUCCUGGGUUCAAUCCCCAGCACCUCCA
rnacentral:tRNA from 1 species